AACGAACGCUGGCGGCAUGCCUAACACAUGCAAGUCGAACGCCUGUAGCAAUACAGGAGUGGCAGACGGGUGCAUAACACGUGGGAACCUACCCUUGGGUUCGGAAUAACCGCGGGAAACUGCGGCUAAUACCGGAUACGUCCUGUGGGAGAAAGAUUCAUCGCCCUUGGAGGGGCCCCGCGUCGGAUUAGCUAGUUGGUGAGGUAACGGCUCACCAAGGCGACGAUCCGUAGCUGAUCUGAGAGGAUGAUCAGCCACACUGGAACUGAGACACGGUCCAGACUCCUACGGGAGGCAGCAGUGGGGAAUAUUGGACAAUGGGCGCAAGCCUGAUCCAGCAAUGCCGCGUGGGUGAUGAAGGCCUUCGGGUUGUAAAGCCCUUUUGGUCAGGGACGGAUGAUGACGGUACCUGCAGAAUAAGCCCCGGCUAACUUCGUGCCAGCAGCCGCGGUAAU
rnacentral:rRNA from 1 species